rnacentral:rRNA from 1 species
UACGUAGGGUCCGAGCGUUGUCCGGAAUUACUGGGCGUAAAGAGCUCGUAGGUGGUUUGUCGCGUUGUUCGUGAAAACUCACAGCUCAACUGUGGGCGUGCGGGCGAUACGGGCAGACUGGAGUACUGCAGGGGAGACUGGAAUUCCUGGUGUAGCGGUGGAAUGCGCAGAUAUCAGGAGGAACACCGGUGGCGAAGGCGGGUCUCUGGGCAGUAACUGACGCUGAGGAGCGAAAGCGUGAGGAGCGAACAGG